rnacentral:rRNA from 1 species
UACGUAGGGGUGCGAGCGUUGUCCGGAAUUAUUGGGCGUAAAGGGCUCGUAGGCGGUCUGUCACGUCGGGAGUGAAAACUCAGGGCUUAACCCUGAGCCUGCUUCCGAUACAGGCAGACUAGAGGUAUGCAGGGGAGAACGGAAUUCCUGGUGUAGCGGUGAAAUGCGCAGAUAUCAGGAGGAACACCGGUGGCGAAGGCGGUUCUCUGGGCAUUACCUGACGCUGAGGAGCGAAAGUGUGGGGAGCGAACAGG